AGCUACGUAUGAUAGCCAAGGAUGACUUGCCUAUCUCCUGCCGUAGAUAUAUAAAAAAAAAUGCACAAGAAAGAAUAUGGUGGGAGGUUCUUUCGUAUGGGUGGAGCUAGGCAGUCUCCUUUGGCUAGUCUCACUGGCUCU
rnacentral:pre_miRNA from 1 species